rnacentral:lncRNA from 1 species
UGGAGGUUGUGAGUAGGUCAACAUGGAAUCAAUCACUCCUGGUAAGAGAAAAUCUCAUCCUACUUGUUCUGAUCGAUUGAUGAUUCAGGAAGCCUUUGAUCAAAGCAGAAUAAAAAUUAAAAAGAGUUUCUAAUAUUUUAUUAAUUGAAUCAUCAUAUAAGAUUGAGAGAAACAUGAGUAUGAUAUUGGAUUUGACAUCAUUCCAUAUCCAGAGUCAUAUUCGGGGUGCAGGG